rnacentral:rRNA from 1 species
CCUACGGGGGGCUGCAGUAGGGAAUAUUGGGCAAUGGUCGGAAGACUGACCCAGCCAUGCCGCGUGCAGGAAGACGGCGCUCAGCGUUGUAAACUGCUUUUACUCAUGAAGAACGGCCAGAGUGCGCUCUGGUGUGACGGUAAUGAGGGAAUCAGCACCGGCUAACUCCGUGCCAGCAGCCGCGGUAAUACGGAGGGUGCAAGCGUUGUCCGGAUUUAUUGGGUUUAAAGGGUGCGUAGGUGGCUUGGUAAGUCUGACCUGAAAGUGGGCCGCUU